rnacentral:rRNA from 1 species
GAUGAACGCUAGCUACAGGCUUAACACAUGCAAGUCGAGGGGCAGCAUAGUCUUAGCUUGCUAAGGCCGAUGGCGACCGGCGCACGGGUGAGUACACGUAUCCAACCUGCCGUCUACUCUUGGACAGCCUUCUGAAAGGAAGAUUAAUACCGGAUGGCAUAGUUUUCCCGCAUGGGAUAAUNUUAAGAAUUUCGGUGUCGAUGGGGAUGCGUUCCAUUAGGCAGUUGGCGGGGUAACGGCCCACCAAACCUACGAUGGAUAGGGGUUCUGAGAGGAAGGUCCCCCACAUUGGAACUGAGACACGGUCCAAACUCCUACGGGAGGCAGCAGUGAGGAAUAUUGGUCAAUGGACGAGAGUCUGAACCAGCCAAGUAGCGUGAAGGAUGACUGCCCUAUGGGUUGUAAACUUCUUUUAUACGGGAAUAAAGUUAGCCACGUGUGGUUUUUGUAUGUACCGUGUGAAUAAGGAUCGGCUAACUCCGUG